AGUGAACGCUGGCGGUAGGCCUAACACAUGCAAGUCGAACGGCAGCACAGUAAGAGCUUGCUCUUACGGGUGGCGAGUGGCGGACGGGUGAGGAAUACAUCGGAAUCUACUUUUUCGUGGGGGAUAACGUAGGGAAACUUACGCUAAUACCGCAUACGACCUACGGGUGAAAGCAGGGGAUCUUCGGACCUUGCGCGAUUGAAUGAGCCGAUGUCGGAUUAGCUAGUUGGCGGGGUAAAGGCCCACCAAGGCGACGAUUCGUAGCUGGUCUGAGAGGAUGAUUAGCCACACUGGAACUGAGACACGGUCCAGACUCCUACGGGAGGAAGCAGUGGGGAAUAUUGGACAAUGGGCGCAAGCCUGAUCCAGCCAUACCGCGUGGGUGAAGAAGGCCUUCGGGUUGUAAAGCCCUUUUGUUGGGAAAGAAAAGCAGCAGGUUAAUACCCCGCUGUUCUGACGGUACCCAAAGAAUAAGCACCGGCUAACUUCGUG
rnacentral:rRNA from 1 species